rnacentral:rRNA from 1 species
GAUGAACGCUGGCGGCGUGCCUAAUACAUGCAAGUCGAGCGAACAGACGAGGAUCUUGCUCCUCUGACGUUAGCGGCAGACGGGUGAGUAACACGUGUAUAACCUACUUAUAAGACUGGUAUAACUUCGGGAAACCGGCGCUAAUACCGGAUAAUAUAUUGAACCGCAUGGGUCAAUAGUGAAAGACGGCUUUGCUGUCACUUAUAGAUGGAUCCGCGCCGCAUUAGGUAGUUGGUAAGGUAACGGGUUAUCAAGGCAACGAUGCGUAGCCGACCUGAGAGGGUGGUCGGCCACACUGGAACUGAGACACGGUCCAGACUCCUACGGGAGGCAGCAGUAGGGAAUCUUCCGCAAAAGGCGAAAGCCUGACGGAGCAACGCCGCGUGAGUGAUGAAGGUCUUCGGAUCGUAAAACUCUGUUAUUAGGGAAGAACAAAUUUGUAAGUAAAUAUGCACGUCUUGACGGUACCUAAUCAGAAAGCCACGGCUAACUACGUG